UUCAAGGGUUUUGGACAAAAAGGGAAGAAGAGAGACCGGUCUGUAGUUGUUUUCUUCAGAAGUUUUACAGAAGCCAAUCUCCGAUAAUGCUGCACUAUGAACAAAUUUGCAGGUGUAAGACUAAUGAUGUUGCUGGCACUGCAGCUGACAGCUAACCGAGGUUACAUUGUGAUAACGGCAAAGAAAAUUUAAAAAUAAAUAUGCGAUACUUUUGGGCUGAUCCAAUCUAAUACAUGACUCCAUCUCAUGAUAAGAUCUGAACCAGUAGCUUCAGUACAGAGGCAAAACAGCCCAUCAAACAUGAUGAGCACUGUGGAUCAUUCCCAGAAGGAGUAGCUGGUUCAGCUUUCUCUGAAAGUAUCAACAAACACACGGCUGAUUGACCCGAACCUGGGUUUGCACACACACAUACACACGCAAUGCAUGUGUGCCUCUAGGACACACUACAUGUGACCUCCAGGGUCCCUCUAACCUGGUGACUGGGAAGUACAACGUUCAGUUGAAGGCAGCCAUAAAUAAACAGCAGUGGCCCCCUUCACAGAAACACCUACACACACAUAAGUAAGAGGCUUCCACUGCUGCUGGUUUCCUUCAGUUGGGAGAAACUGUGCUUCUUAGAUUGUGACCCGAGAUAAAGGAGAUCAUCAUCCUGCAGGACUAUCGUCAUGCUUGCUGUUUAAUAGUGUUACAGGUGUGACUCAUUUUCUGACAUCUAUCAUUUCCUUCAACGUUUAAUCUUAAUAUUAGUAUGCAUUUGUAUUUAACACUUUAAACACCCCUUAACAAACUGUUUUAAAGAAGUCAACCUAAAUUUUAAAUGUUCAUUAUUUUUACAAACUUCUUAAAAACCUAAACUUAUAAAUGUAUUCAUGAGACAAAAUAUCUUUUGUCUGUAGUAAGCUGGUGUUCUCUUUCCCAGGGACUUUUUUGUACCAACAAUUGGAAGAGAAUGACAGAAAGUGUCAAGUCACUCGUGGCAACACAGAGAAAAAGCAUCUGUUUGCAGUUCCCCUCAGGUCCAUUCCCUUCUUCCAUCAUAGCUGGGGAACAUGGUGGAGGAUUUAGCUGCUAAAGAGGAAUCAUUUCCCUGUAAAACAGUGCUAAGAGAGAGAACUUUAAACUCACAUCCAUGAGGUGGAGACAAAGACAAUUGAAAACGUAGUGUUGCUCUUGUUCUGCUGGAUGUGGAGAACAUGAUCAUAAUAACUACUGUUUAAUGUCAUGUUUACAGCUCAUUGCACUACCCCAAAGCAGCUGAAUGAGUCUCUUUGUGCAGCUUUAAGUAUAUCUAUUUUCUAUUGACAGUGAGAGUAAUGUUGAAGACAAUCCACACAUGUUCCAGUGUUGUCACAGGUUCAUGGGUGUUAAUGGAUCCAGUCUGCAAUGAAAAUUCAGCCAUGCUGCUUCCACUGUCUACUCCAAUCAAACCAUAUUAAAAACGUGGUUUAUAUAUUUCGUAGACAUGGACAUUUAUUGACAUAAAACCGAUUGUUCAGUUCACCUUUCUGAAGUGACUGAGCUGCUCUGGCGUCUGUAUGAGCAGGAUAUUGACUUAAACUAUCAAAGAAGUCAAGCCAAGGACAUUAUUUCCCACCCCCAGUCUGCCAAACAGCAGCUUGUUGAGAAUUGUUUCCUCAGCUACCUUUUGAGCUGGAAGCUUACCGCUUUGUUAUAUAUCUAACAUAACCGCCGGACUCAUCAACCUUGUUUGAGAAAAUUAGCUGAACUGAUAACGGCCAGGUUGGACUAUGUUCUCUGGGACUCUUGUGGUCGUGCUGCUGGUCCUCAUCCUGUGUAGACGGGUUCUGUGGCAUGGCAUAUGCAUCUUUAUUGGUCAGAAAUGGUUUGAGAAGACCCCGAGGACCAGAGGAGCUGCCAACCAAAGAAAGCCUGGAAAAGUGACAAAUGAAUAAAUAUUGUUAAAUUCUUUAAAAAAUGGUCUGUCAUGGCUGUUUCUUUCUGAUUGGCUGAGACAACCAAGCAAACACAGCCCAAACAAAUUUGAAUGUACAAAAAAUAGCCUGACGUCAUGUACAAUAAAUAUUUAUUUGGAAAUCUU